GGCGGCGUGCUUAACACAUGCAAGUCGAACGGACGGAAUGGAGCUUGCUCCAUGAAGUUAGUGGCGGACGGGUGAGUAACGCGUGGGUAACCUGCCCUAUGCAGGGGGAUAACGUUUGGAAACGAACGCUAAUACCGCAUAAUCUAGUUUUUUCGCAUGAAAAGAUUAGCAAAGAUUUUAUCGGCAUAGGAUGGACCCGCGUUGGAUUAGCUAGUUGGUGAGAUAAAAGCUCACCAAGGCGACGAUCCAUAGCCGGCCUGAGAGGGUGAACGGCCACACUGGGACUGAGACACGGCCCAGACUCCUACGGGAGGCAGCAGUGGGGAAUAUUGCACAAUGGGCGCAAGCCUGAUGCAGCGACGCCGCGUGAAGGAUGAAGGUUUUCGGAUCGUAAACUUCUAUCAGCAGGGAAGAAACCAAUGACGGUACCUGACUAAGAAGCCCCGGCUAACUACGUGCCAGCAGCCGCGGUAAU
rnacentral:rRNA from 1 species